AUUGAACGCUGGCGGCAGGCCUAACACAUGCAAGUCGAACGAGUGGCGGACGGGUGAGUAAUGUCUGGGGAACUGCCCGAUAGAGGGGGAUAACUACUGGAAACGGUAGCUAAUACCGCAUACCAUCGGAUGUACCCAGAUGGGAUUAGCUAGUAGGUGGGGUAACGGCUCACCAAGGCGACGAUCCCUAGCUGGUCUGAGAGGGGGACCAGCCACACUGGAACUGAGACACGGUCCAGACUCCUACGGGAGGCAGCAGUGGGGAAUAUUGCACAAUGGGCGAAAGCCUGACGGAGCCAUGCCGCGUGUAUGAAGAAGGCUUUCGGGUUGUAAAGUUCUUUCAGCGGGGAGGCGUUACUCGCAGAAGAAGCCACGGCUAACUCCGUGCCAGCAGCCGCGGUAAUAC
rnacentral:rRNA from 1 species